rnacentral:rRNA from 1 species
CCUACGGGAGGCAGCAGUGGGGAAUAUUGGGCAAUGGGCGCAAGUCUGACCCAGCAACGCCGCGUGAAGGAUGAAGGCUCUCUGGUUGUAAACUUCUUUUCUCAGGGACGAAGCAUGUGACGCUACCUGAGUAUUAUGCCACGGCUAAAUACGUGCCCGCAGCCGCGGUAUUCCGUAGGUGGCGAGCGUUCUGCGGAUGGACUGGGUGUACAGGGCGUGUAGGCGGGAAAGGAAGUCAGAUGUGAAAAGCAUGGGCUCAACCGGGGGCCUGCAUUGGACACUGUUGUGCUUGAGUACUGGGGAGGCAGACGGAAUUCCUGGUGUAGCGGGGAAAUGCGUAGAUAUUAGGAGGAACACCAGGGGCGAAGGCGGUCUGCUGGACAGCAACUGACGCUGAGGCGCGAAAGCGUGGGGAGCAAACAGGAUUAGAUACCCGGGUAGUC